GACGAACGCUGGCGGCGUGCUUAACACAUGCAAGUCGAACGGAAAGGCCCUGCUUGCAGGGUACUCGAGUGGCGAACGGGUGAGUAACACGUGGGUGAUCUGCCCUGCACUUCGGGAUAAGCCUGGGAAACUGGGUCUAAUACCGGAUAGGAGCCAUUUUUAGUGUGAUGGUUGGAAAGUUUUUUCGGUGUAGGAUGAGCUCGCGGCCUAUCAGCUUGUUGGUGGGGUAAUGGCCUACCAAGGCGGCGACGGGUAGCCGGCCUGAGAGGGUGGACGGCCACAGUGGGAAUGAGAUACGGCCCAGACUCCUACGGGAGGCAGCAGUGAGGAAUAUUGAACAAUGGGCGCAAGCCUGAUGCAGCGGCGCCGCGUGGGGGAUGACGGCCUUCGGGUUGUAAACUCCUUUCGCUAGGGACGAAGCUUUUUGUGACGGUACCUAGAUAAGAAGCACCGGCUAACUACGUG
rnacentral:rRNA from 1 species